rnacentral:rRNA from 1 species
CGUUGUCUCAGAGAUUAGCCAUGCAUGUCUAAGUACAAACCUUUAAACGGUGAAACCGCGAAUGGCUCAUUAAAUCAGCUAUGGUUCCUUAGAUCGUACAUACUACAUGGAUAUCUGUAGUAAUUCAUACAUGAUAUCUGUAGUAAUUCCUAGAGCUAAUACAUGCCAAUAUGCCCUAAGCCCCGCAAGGGAACGGGUGGAUUUAUUAGAACAGAACCAACCGGUGGCGGCGCAAGCUGUUACUGUUCCAUUACUGUGAUGACUCUGGAUAACUUUACUGAUCGCAGCUGGCCUUGUGUCGGCGACGGAUCUUUCAAAUGUCUGCCCUAUCAAUUGUCGAUGGUAGGUGACCUGCCUACCAUGGUGAUAACGGGUAACGGGGAAUCAGGGUUCGAUUCCGGAGAGGGAGCCUGAGAAACGGCWWCCACAUCCAAGGAAGGCAGCAGGCACGCAAAUUACCCACUCCCGGCACGGGGAGGUAGUGACGAAAAAUACAGGAUACGGGUACUCAUCAGAGGCUCCGUAAUUCGAAUGAGUACAAUUUAAAUCCUUUAACGAGGACCCACUGGAGGGCAAGUCUGGUGCCAGCAGCCGCGGUAACUCCAGCUUCAGAAGCGUAUAUUAAAGUUGUUGCAGUUAAAAAGCUCGUAGUUGGAUCUGGGUCGCAUGGCUACAUGCCGUCGCUUAUGCCUCUUGCUUGCAUUGUUCGAGUAGAGGACGUGUGUCGGUGUAGUGGUUGUGCAGCCUUUCUGCCGUGUCUGUUUAUACGGGUGCUGGUGGGUCUUUUAGACUCGUUGGCACUGCUUCCGGAUGCCUUUAACAGGGUGUCUGGGGCGGACGGCACGUUUACUUUGAACAAAUUUGAGUGCUCAAAGCAGGCCCAAGUGCCUGAAAAUUCUUGCAUGGAAUAAUGGAAUAGGACUUCGGUUCUAUUUUGUUGGUUUCGGAUCCGAAGAAUGGUUAAGAGGGACAGACGGGGGCAUUUGUAUGGCGGUGUUAGAGGUGAAAUUCUUGGAUCGCCGCCAGACAAACUACAGCGAAAGCAUUUGCCAAGGAUGUUUUCAUUGAUCUGGAGCGAAAGUCAGAGGUUCGAAGACGAUCAGAUACCGUCCUAGUUCUGACCAUAAACGAUGCCAACUGACGAUCCGUGGAGGUAAUAGUAUUGACCCUGCGGGCAGUCCCCGGGAAACCCUUAAGUCUUUGGGCUCCGGGGGAAGUAUGGUUGCAAAGCUGAAACUUAAAGGAAUUGACGG